rnacentral:lncRNA from 1 species
AUGAUUGUUUUUGUCUCUACCCAGGAGCUGACAGAAACAGAGGCCCCUGUGCCGAAAAAGAAGUCAGAGAAGAGCAAGAGGACAAAGGAGGCAAUUUCUUCUCCCUCUGCCCGUGCUUUCUCUGACACCGAAAAGUCGCCCAAGAAGAAGCUCUCCGCUAUGGAGACGGCCUUCCAAGGCUUGGCCCCCUGCUUGGCUGGGAAAAGUAAGGCCUCCAAGCUGAGGAACAGUCCCUUGGGCACCUCCAUUGAAUCCUACCUGGAGGAUUACUUCACUUUUAUCUUCUGCCCCAAGGGAAAGAGCAAAAUGCAGGAGAACGCAGUUUCUAAGCUGAGCCGGGCAAAGGUAUUUGUUAAAUACCUUUUGCUCGGCUCAGACUCGUCUGCAUCCUGGAACUGGCAGUUCCUGUACAACAUCCCCCUGCUGAAGUCCUACCCCGCAGUCCUCUGCAAAUUUGGCCUUUCGCCGACCACCAUCAGCCUCUACUUGGGCCAGGCCGUCUCAUUUGUGGAGUACUUCAGGGCCAUGCUGCCCAGCCACUCGCGGCUCCACCGUGGGCAAACCAAAAUCCUGGUCCUCAAGCUCAAGAAGCUGAGCAGGGACAUCGGGCGGACCGUCCUGGGACACCAGCUGCUGACCAAGCAAAAAAAGGUCUCCAAGCUGGUGUCCAAGGAGGACCUCCGCCUUUGCCAGCUCCUUGCUCGGGAGAAAAUCCCCUCUCUGCUCGGUCCUCGAGCACAAGACUGCCCGGAAAUUCGGAACCGCCCAAAUCUACUUAGAGCCCGAAGAAUUUUUGUGGUUCCAGACCUGGCUCAGGCUGAGAGACAGAGCCGUUGCCAGGAAUGGCUAUUUAUUUUCGUCUCUUGGCCGUGGGGAGGCGAAAGACAUGGCCCGUUAUUUCAGCAAAGCCUGGAAAGAGAUGGGACUCUAGGGGUACCCUACCAUCAUGGACAUACGAACGGCUGUGUCCACCUACAAUUUUCAGGAGAACAACCCGGAGGUGCGGGAGAACCUCUCUAA